CCUAACCGGUGAAGUGCUUCUGAAACUGUUAGACUUGAGGUUAGGAGAGGAAAGCGGAAUUCCCGGUGUAGUGGUGAAAUACGUAGAGAUCGGGAAGAAUACCAAUGGUGAAAACAGCUUUCUGGCCUAUACCUGACGCUGAGGUACGAAAGCUAGGAUAGCAAACGGGAUUAGAUACCCCGGUAGUCCUGGCUGUAAACGAUGGACACUGAGUGUUGGGGGUUAAACUCCCUCAGUGCUGAAGUUAACGCGUUAAGUGUCCCGCCUGGGGAAUACGACCGCAAGGUUGAAACUCAAAGGAAUUGACGGGGGCCCGCACAAGCGGCGGAGCAUGUGGUUUAAUUCGAUGCAACGCGCAGAACCUUACCAGGGCUUGACAUCCUGUGUUAGUCUGUGAAAACAGACGUUGGGCUUUGCCCACAC
rnacentral:rRNA from 1 species